GACGAACGCUGGCGGAAUGCUUUACACAUGCAAGUCGAACGGCAGCACGAACUUCGGUCUGGUGGCGAGUGGCGAACGGGUGAGUAAUGUAUCGGAACGUGCCCAGUCGUGGGGGAUAACGUAGUGAAAAUUACGCUAAUACCGCAUACGAUCUAUGGAUGAAAGCGGGGGAUCGCAAGACCUCGCGCGAUUGGAGCGGCCGAUAUCAGAUUAGGUAGUUGGUGGGGUAAAGGCCCACCAAGCCAACGAUCUGUAGCUGGUCUGAGAGGACGACCAGCCACACUGGAACUGAGACACGGUCCAGACUCCUACGGGAGGCAGCAGUGGGGAAUUUUGGACAAUGGGCGAAAGCCUGAUCCAGCCAUUCCGCGUGCAGGAUGAAGGCCCUCGGGUUGUAAACUGCUUUUGUACAGAACGAAAAGGUUUCUACUAAUACUAGGAGCUCAUGACGGUACUGUAAGAAUAAGCACCGGCUAACUACGUGCCAGCCGCCGCAGUAA
rnacentral:rRNA from 1 species